GGGGGGUCAUGCCCUUCUAACAUGUUGUCUAUUUGCUGGGGUUCACCCGCCCCUCCCAACAACUAUUUGGUUUAUAGUAGUAUUUUAGGUCUUGCCCUAGCAAACUUCUUUCUGUUCUCAAAGACCACUAGCGCUUACACAAAUGGCAGGUGAUGGUGACUGGCUUUUUCAAGUGAAAUUAGCGUUGCUGGAUGCGAGAGGUGUGACAGAACUGGAACAGACGGGGUGAGUGCAAGCAGGUGCUGGACUACCUCUCCCCACCGCUUAGGGCACUAGCCUAGGAUUGCGGGGAUCUGGGUUCAAGUCCUUCUGACUCCUCAGGUGAAGAAUAAUUUCGCAACUCCAUGUGUCUAGCAAAUGUAACUCCAUUGAGCAUUACCCUGGCUGGCUCUAGCACUGUCUUCUCUGCACACAGCUGUGCCACCAAAGUGGCAGAGGGGCAUCGUCCUGACCUCUGGGUGGCAGUGCUUAGGCGGAGAUAAAGUGUCUCAGAGAUUUGGCCUUGGGAAGCAAUGGGAAGGCACCUAAUGCAUCACUCACUGCACUUAGCAGCAUGACAAGGUGGGAGUAACAACCAAGGCCUGAUGAUUAGCACUUGUGCCGGCUGCAGUGUCCAUUGCCACGGUGAAACAAAGCCAGAAAAGAUCAUGGAGAUGCACACAUCUAUACACGCACCGAUUUGCUAGCUUUUUUUAUGGAUGUAGGAGUGCAUGGUAUUCAUUGGUAAAGCUGGAAACCGACACUUGCAGGAAGACAUUCCACAUUCCAGAAUAAAUGCACACUGGGGUCCAAGACCAGCCAUGGAAAUGAUCUCGUUAUGUCUUGUAAUUAAUGAGCUAGAGCUGGGGUGCAUGCCGCAAAGACAACUGCACAAAGUCACGUUUCUUGAAAUUCAAAUUUUGAAAUUCACCUGGCACACUGAGAUCCAGAUCUCAACUGCAGCCUCUAGGUACAAACAUAAUAUGAUCCACAAUAAUAAUGAAAUCACAAGUUUUAAAUUGGGGUUGACA